rnacentral:rRNA from 1 species
CCUACGGGAGGCAGCAGUGGGGAAUUUUGGACAAUGGGCGCAAGCCUGAUCCAGCUAUUCCGCGUGUGGGAAGACGGCCUUCGGGUUGUAAACCACUUUUGUAGAGAACGAAAAGUCUGUUGAUAAUACCGAUAGAUGAUGACGGUACUCUAAGAAUAAGCACCGGCUAACUACGUGCCAGCAGCCGCGGUAAUACGUAGGGUGCGAGCGUUAAUCGGAAUUACUGGGCGUAAAGGGUGUGCAGGCGGUUUUGCAAGAUUGAUGUGAAAGCCCCGGGCUUAACCUGGGAAAGCCAUACAUGACUGCAAGACUAGAGUGCGUCAGAGGGGGGUGGAAUUCCAAGUGUAGCAGUGAAAUGCGUAGAUAUUUGGAAGAACACCGAUGGCGAAGGCAGCCCCCUGGGACGCAACUGACGCUCAUACACGAAAGUGUGGGGAGCAAACAGGAUUAGAUACCCCAGUAGUC